AUUGAACGCUGGCGGAAUGCUUUACACAUGCAAGUCGAACGGCAGCACGGACUUCGGUCUGGUGGCGAGUGGCGAACGGGUGAGUAAUGUAUCGGAACGUGCCCAGUCGUGGGGAUAACGUAGUGAAAAUUACGCUAAUAACGCAUACGAUCUAUGGAUGAAAGCGGGGGAUCGCAAUCCCACGCGCGAUUGGAGCGGCCGAUAUCAGAUUAGGUAGUUGGUAGGGUAAAGGCCCACCAAGCCAACGAUCUGUAGCUGGUCUGAGAGGACGACCAGCCACACUGGAACUGAGACACGGUCCAGACUCCUACGGGAGGCAUCAGUGGGGAAUUUUGGACGAUGGGCGAAAGCCUGAUCCAGCCAUUCCGCGUGCAGGAUGAAGGCCCUCUGGUUGUAAACUGCUUAUGUACAGAACGAAAAGGUUUCUACUAAUACUAGGAGCUCAUGACGGUACUGUAAGAAUAAGCACCGGCUAACUACGUGCCAGCCGCCGCCGUAA
rnacentral:rRNA from 1 species